rnacentral:rRNA from 1 species
UGGGGAAUAUUGCACAAUGGAGGGAACUCUGAUGCAGCGACGCCGCGUGAACGAAGAAGGCUUUCGAGUCGUAAAGUUCUUUUAUAUGGGAAGAUAAUGACGGUACCAUAAGAAGAAGCCCCGGCUAACUACGUGCCAGCAGCCGCGGUAAUACAUAGGGGGCUAGCGUUGUCCGGAAUCACUGGGCGUAAAGGGUUCGCAGGCGGAAAUGCAAGUCAGGUGUAAAAGGCAGUAGCUUAACUACUGUAAGCAUUUGAAACUGCAUAUCUUGAGAAGAGUAGAGGUAAGUGGAAUUUUUAGUGUAGCGGUGAAAUGCGUAGAUAUUAAAAAGAAUACCGGUGGCGAAGGCGACUUACUGGGCUCAUUCUGACGCUGAGGAACGAAAGCGUGGGUAGCAAACAGG